CACGUAGGGCGCAAGCGUUGUCCGGAAUUACUGGGCGUAAAGAGCUCGUAGGUGGUUUGUCGCGUUGUUCGUGAAAACUCACAGCUCAACUGUGGGCGUGCGGGCGAUACGGGCAGACUAGAGUACUGCAGGGGAGACUGGAAUUCCUGGUGUAGCGGUGGAAUGCGCAGAUAUCAGGAGGAACACCAAUAGCGAAGGCAGCUCGCUGGGACGUUACUGACACUGAGGCGCGAAAGCGUGGGGAGCGAACAGG
rnacentral:rRNA from 1 species